rnacentral:rRNA from 1 species
CUUUGGUUCUAUUUUGUUGGUUUCUAGGACCGAAGUAAUGAUUAAUAGGGAUAGUUGGGGGCAUUAGUAUUUAAUUGUCAGAGGUGAAAUUCUUGGAUUUAUGAAAGACUAACUUCUGCGAAAGCAUUUGCCAAGGAUGUUUUCAUUAAUCAAGAACGAAAGUUAGGGGAUCCAAAAAGAUCAGAUACCUUUGUAGUCCUAACCGUAAACUAUGCCGACUAGGGAUCAGACGAUGUUACAAUAUUGACGCGUUUGGCACCUUAUGAGAAAUCAAAGUUUUUGGGUUCUGGGGGGAGUAUGGUCGCAAGGCUGAAACUUAAAGGAAUUGACGGAAGGUCACCACCAGGAGUGGAGCCUGCGGCUUAAUUUGACUCAACACGGGGAAACUCA